GACGAACGCUGGCGGCGUGCUUAACACAUGCAAGUCGAACGGUAAGGCCCUUCGGGGUACACGAGUGGCGAACGGGUGAGUAACACGUGGGUGAUCUGCCCUGCACUUCGGGAUAAGCCUGGGAAACUGGGUCUAAUACCGGAUAGGACCACUGCCUGCAUGGGUGGUGGUGGAAAGCUUUUGCGGUGUGGGAUGGGCCCGCGGCCUAUCAGCUUGUUGGUGGGGUGAUGGCCUACCAAGGCGACGACGGGUAGCCGGCCUGAGAGGGUGACCGGCCACGCUGGGACUGAGAUACGGCCCAGACUCCUACGGGAGGCAGCAGGGGGGAAUAUUGCACAGUGGGCGCAAGCCUGAUGCAGCGACGCCGCGUGAGGGAUGACGGCCUUCGGGUUGUAAACCUCUUUCAGCACCGACGAAGCGCAAGUGACGGUAGGUGCAGAAGAAGGACCGGCCAACUACGUGCCAGCAGCCGCGGUAA
rnacentral:rRNA from 1 species